rnacentral:rRNA from 1 species
CCUACGGGAGGCAGCAGUGGGGAAUAUUGGACAAUGGGCGAAAGCCUGAUCCAGCAAUGCCGCGUGAGUGAAGAAGGCCUUCGGGUUGUAAAGCUCUUUUACCCGGGAAGAUAAUGACUGUACCGGGAGAAUAAGCCCCGGCUAACUCCGUGCCAGCAGCCGCGGUAAUACGGAGGGGGCUAGCGUUGUUCGGAAUUACUGGGCGUAAAGCGUACGUAGGCGGCUUUGUAAGUCAGAGGUGAAAGCCCACGACUCAAUCGUGGAACUGCCUUUGAGACUGCUUCGCUUGAAGAUGGGAGAGGUUAGUGGAAUUCCGAGUGUAGAGGUGAAAUUCGUAGAUAUUCGGAAGAACACCAGUGGCGAAGGCGGCUAACUGGACCAUUCUUGACGCUGAGGUACGAAAGCGUGGGGAGCAAACAGGAUUAGAUACCCUGGUAGUCCACGCCGUAAACGAUGAUAACUAGCUGUCGGGGCUCUUGGAGCUUCGGUGGCGCAGCUACGCAUAAGUUAUCCGUCCGUCGGGUAGGUACGGCCGCGAAGUUAAACGUACGAAGUAGAAGUUAGUACGGCGUGAGAACGUGUCCGACGGACGACGACGAGGGGAGGUUAGG